ensembl:lncRNA
UUUUAUUCUACAAGAUGUUUUAUGCUCACAAUAUUCUAAGUGUGAAGCACUAAUUAGAAGUAGAAAACCAGCCUAUUCUUAUCAUCUUUUUCCUGUCCGUAUUUAUUAGGGGAAAUGUCUUUCCUGGAAGAGGUGUACAUUGUCCCCUGUUGUCUGGGAGGCUGGCUGAGCGUGGGCACUGUCACCUCCCGCUGCUCACUGCUACCAAGAGGGAGUUGUUCCCACAGCCAGGACAAGCAGCAGAGGCUGGACCUCCUGAGCCAGGAAUGAAACACUCCCUGGGGCUUUGCCUCAGCCUGUCCUGCUGUGAUGUUUGCUUUGUUCCAGCCAUACAACACUCCCUGUGCUGGUCCAGCAGAGCUCCAGAUGUGAGAGGCAGCAUAGCUGCACUCACCACUUCUCCUGGCUGGAGGUUUCAGGUAUCUCUAAUUGGACAAGGAUAACUCUGUUUGCCCACACGAGGCUGGUGUCUGCUGUCAGUAACAACCUUGUCUCAUGUGGCUGUGGCCACCAGAACAGCUCCAGCAGGAUGCUCUCAGUGCUCACUCCCCACUUCUGUGUCAGCCAUCAGGACUUUGUUGCUGCCAGGAAAAUAACAAGGAAUGAAGUGUAGAGAACAUUAGUGUGACUAUAAAAAUGUACUGCCAUACUUCACAUCACUGGAAGAAAUUGCAGCUCAACUAUUGCAAGCUCUGUGGCAAUCCCACAGACUUGCCUUUGGCUUUGAGAAGACCAUUUUGGCUUUAUCCCUCUGCAGCAGACACUUUAAAGCAUGUCAUACAAUCUGGGGGCUUUUUUACCUUUUGUUUCUUCCCCUGAUAUUACAAGAGAAAACACAUAAAAGAAUAAGUUCCCUUUCCCAAACAUCUCCAGAGCUAACAGGAGCUCACCGAAUGCUGUGUGCUGUGCAAACACAAACUUAAGACAAUUUUAUAGGGCCUGUUAUUUACCCAGCUAUAACAACUUCUUUGUUAGAGGAUGGCACUGUAAUUACCUGCUGUUAUCAUUAAUAGCUUGAGUCAGUGGUUAAUGCAGAGGUGACAAAUCACUGAAAUUCCUGACAGUUUAUGGCUUUUAGCACUAAGGAAUGUUUCUUUAAUUUGCUAUCCCUUGUGUAUAUCAUAUUUCCUUUAAGUAUCUUCUGCUCUCUCACAUACACAUCCCCACUCAUAAUUAAACAUACCUGAUCAUAAUUUAUUCAUAUUCAACAAAUUACCAAAUUCCUGUUGUUUAGUGACGGUGCCUAUUUGGAAAGUGGUGGAACAAGGGGAAUGUUUCUAACUGAGGAGUACCACAGUAAGGACUUCAGUCUUUUUAUGUCCAUUCUGAAACAUCAGCCAGCAAAUGAAGAAAAAGUACACAUCUGCUUGAAUUUGCCAGCCAUUGGAAGGAUAGGGGGAACUGCCAGUACCCUCAGCUCCACUCCAAAAAGUGGAAUCAGAAAUGUUUCAGGUCAAAAGCAGGAAAAUACUGUGCUCUCCCUGCAAACUCCAGGACCCAUGUUCCACUUGCAUAACGUUACAGGCACACAUACAAGGACCCGUCUCCAAAACUGGUGUUGCCUGUGCACACCAGAGUGCUGCAGGGCACAGACCCUGCCCUACAAACACCAGGAUGAGAAUACAGAACACAUUGCCAGCCUCGGCCUGCCCUUCCCUAUCAGGAGAGUUUUGCUCCACAGAGCAUGGGAUUCGCCCUGUCUAUAAACAUAAUUUUCCCCAUACAAUGAGGUUUAUUUGCUCACCUUCCUGCCCCAUGCUCACAAAAACACACUCCCUACCCUUCCCCCCGCAUUUGAAAUGGAAUGUAAGCCCUUGUGUUUUAAAAAGUCAGUCACUUUUGGAAGCAAUGAGUAGCAACUGUUAAAACAAACCAAACUCCAUUUCAAAUCCACCAUGAAGCAAAGGAGCAAAAAAAGAAUGAAGCAGAAAUGACCUUAUCCAUAACUACAGCCAUAAGGCUAGUUAGGAUUCCUUCUGAGUAAAAAAUAGAGAACAACAACUGGCAAAUGUCAGCCUCAUUAUCAUCAACUCUUUUUAGUAGUGAAACAAAAAUUACCCUUAGAUCUUUUUUCAACAACCCAGACCAUUCUCUUUGUUAGAAGGCUUUCCAUUUCUUUUGAAUAACUAUCAGAUUAUGGCAACAUCUUUUCUCUUCAGUACUAAAAGCACAUGUUUCAGCCUUACCGACUAUAAGCACACAUUAUUUGUUUUCCACAAACACUUGAUGUUAAACUAGUUGGGACAUAAUAUUGUGAAAUACAGUGAGCAGGAAAAAAAAAGGCGAAGCUGAGCAAAAAGAACACUGAAUUCAAAGGUAAUUGCUUCUCUGUGAUACCUACAGUUUUUCAUAUUUUUCUUCAGAAAUACUAAAAUACGGAACAUUCCAGCUCAAUAUUGUUUCAAUUCUGAAACAAUUUCAUGUAAUGCUUGUGUCACUGUUUAAAGCCAAGAUUAUGCUCUUCAAUCUUGAGUCUACAAUGUCUAUAGAUAGAGAACACAGUUGUCCUUAACCCGAGAGAUGUCAAUGGGAGUUUUCCAAAGUAAUAACUUGGCAAGAAGUCAAAUCCUUACCUGCUGCAAAUUUCUGAGGCUCCAGUAAAGUUAACAGAAUUGUGCCAUUUCAUGUGAGCCUGGGCUCUGGCACAAUUUAAUCCAGACCCUUUAAUCUUUCUAGCCAACAGGUCAACUAAUGCAUGUUUUUACACGGCACUUAAGUGAAAAAAAGGCAGCUUCUUACCUUGGUUUUUUUUGCCUCUGGUACAGUUUUGGUCAUUUAUUCUUUGAUAUUCUCCAGAAGUGCAUCCUCAAGUGUACCCCCAUCUCUUCUUCAAGGCCAGGGCUUCACGUCCACAGGUUGUUAUCCCUCCCAGAUAUCAAAACUUGUUAAAGUCCCUGGGACAGUGAUGGAGCACAGCUGAUUUUCCCUGUUCAUGGCAUAAUGAAUUGCCCUUUAUGGGAAAAAAUAUCGUAUACACAUAUGUACCUCAUAUCCAGGUAGGGCUCAGGGAAAAAGACCAGAUGUUGGGUUUUGUAGUGGGUUCUUGUGGGUUUUUCCCUCCACUGUAAAGAAACCUGUGAUUGUGAUCUGAGGUCAGGAUUAGUUGUCCAAAUCCUUCCCCACUUCCAUUUGUCCAGCUUCCUGAACUGACACAAAACUGGGUGCCUCUUCAUCACAUUUACCCACCUGGCGUUGCUGAAUCAGGAGCACAGGGACAUUUGUCCCUUAGAGCUCCCAUUUCCCACUUCUCUGCUACCUAGAGGUACAAAUGUGAAGCUGAGUGUUUUGGGUUUCUGUGACCUCAAAACCCCGCAUCCAGCAUUUCUCCCCAGAAGCAGAGAGAUACGCCAGCACUGUGUGUCACAUGAGCCUUGGUACAAACCCAUUCAGGUUCAUCCAGCCCUAGUACAAACCCCUUCGGGUUCAUCCAGCCCCAGUACAAACCCAUUCGGGUUCAUCCAGCCCCAGUACAAACACAUUCAGGUUCAUCCAGCUGUGAAGCCCCUGCUUCAGCUGCUUCAGCUGCUUCACCAACCUCCAGUGGGCACUCUGGGCUGCAGGACUCACCUCUACAUGGAUGGGGACAAUGAUAUGGAACUAAACAGAGAUGUCUGACACCUGCCCAAGGAGCAGCAGAGAAGACAUCCUGCCACAAGCCUCACUCAGGAAAGAUCCCUCAGAGGCAACUCCAGGAGUCAAGGCUAUCUCACGCUGCCUAUGACUCACUAGGGAGCAGCAUGAACCAGAAGCAUCACAUGAGGGUUUUAUCAUGUGAAGCACGCGAGGAAUCCACUCAGCCACACAUUUAAGAUAAGAAUAUGAAGGCUAAGCAGAACAUCCCAUAAGGUACAGUAAAAGGUCAAAAUUCAUAUUUGAAAAAAUGGGAAUGUUGAUGCUUGCUGCUCCAGAGGGUUGUUAUGAAGCUCAGAAAAGUUCUGUGUGAUUCCCUGACAUGUCCAAUCAAUGCCAAGGGUUAUUACCUCUACGGAAAGCACCCUCCGGUGUUUCCUGCCAAAGCAUGAUUUACAGAACACACCACAGAGCAAGCCAGAGACAGCUCUGAGAGAUGCAGAAACAGCAGCCUGUAACACAAAGGCAGGGAGCUAAAGCCUGCGGUAAUGGCUUCUGCAGAAAGCAGGACUGGGUCAGUGAACAACUGUCCUGGCUUUACAAGGGUUCUAAUAAACCUUCCAACGCUUUGCCUUCCAUGUUCCAUGAGCAUCUAUCCUAUACCUUGAAUGCUUGCUGGACAUGGGAGCUUUACACAAGAUAGUUUUCCCCUGGACUUGCAGAUACAUGGAUUAUGUUAUCUCUCCUCCUGCGACAGCACCCAAGAAAGUCAGAGCUGAAAUCCCAGAGAGCUUCCUGAAGUUCCUCUUCUUGUUGCUUUAGCUCAAGGCAGCAAUAUAUCACUCAGGUUAUAUCCCUGAAGCUUCUUUUAAAACAUAUUACAAACACAGAGGACAACAUUUUCCAUUUCUUCCUAUGAAUCCAGGAAAUUCAAACACCAAGUCAGUUGAAGAUUAUAGCUAUGCUCCUAAACACUCCAUUCCUUAAAUAUGGUGCUCAUUGGUAUUUAGAGUUACUUCUCAGUGAUAUUCCAUCAGAAACCAGACAGAUUCAGGAUAUAUCAAAUAAACUUUAUGUUAUAAGAUAGGAGAAAUUCUCACAAUAAUGAUACAGCAUUUAUAACAGCAACUGCUAGAAAUGAAAAAAUCCACAGUGGCCUAACUCAUGAUGAGAGUCAGUAAUAACUCCAAUCCAGUGCCAGGCAGAGAUGCUAUUAACUUGUGACCCAAUAAGCUAGCAGCUGUGGACUUUUUAAGUGAACAAUAAUGUGUUCACUUAAAAAAAUAAGAAAAAAACCCAAACCCCAACAAAUUCCACCAUAAAAAAAUAAUACUGAACAUGUUGCUUAUAAAAUGUUUACACCCAGUUUACCAAUUUGUGCAGUAAUGAUACUCAGAGUUUGUUUCUCCAAAAUGGCUUUGAGAUGCUAAAUGCAAAACAAGAAUUAGAAGUCUUGGAAACAGCAUAUAAUUGCUACCAAAAAAGAGACGGCAUCAGCAUAUCACACACACCCAAUGAAAUCCAUAUGGCCAUGGCUAUUUUCAGCUGUCUCCCUAAAUUCCCUUUGGUCCUUUCUUCGGGGCUGAUGUAUUCAUGUUCCAAAUGACAUCUCCUGUAACUGUGUUUCAUGGCACAAAAUGGGGCCACUCUGAACUCAGAAGUAAAGGAAAUCAGCAAUUUGGGACCUGAGAGCAUUAUCUGGAGGAGAGGAAGCAUAGAAACGCCCGGGAAGGUCGGGAAGCAGUGGGUGCAAAGUGAGGGCCCGGAAGGCGUGAGAAAACAGUGGGAACCAAUGUCACUGCUUUGGGGUGGGAUGAAGCAGAACAGAAAAGUGCCCUCCAAAAUUUCCUUAUCCAAAGAUUUCAAGAUUCCAAAAGGAACAAAGAAGAGGCCUGGAUUCACUGAAGUUACCUGAGUACAUGUCUGACUUAAUGAGCUUUCCAGUUUGUUUUAAGAGUCUCUGCAUGUCACAACUCUUUGACAUUUAUUUUUAUGAUUAUGUUAGAUUCCUGCUCUGGAAACUUUACUUCCCCCAAAGUUGCUGUUAAAGCUCAAAAAAAACCCAGUUUGUUUGUUUAUAUCAG